CAUGGACAGAGGAGCCUGGCAGGCUAUAGUCCAUGGGGUCGCAAACAGUCAGGCACAACUGUGUGACUAACACUUCUAAUUCACUAACCUUUGAGAAACACUGUGAAAGAAGGUAUAACUGUGUUUGUCUGAGUGUGUUACUCACUCAGUUGUGUCCAACUCUUUGCGACCACAUGGACUGCAGCCCACCAGGCUCCUUUGUCCAUGGAAUUCUCUAGGCAAGAGUAUUGGAGUGGAUUGCCAUUCCUUUCUCCAGGGGAUCUUCCUGACCCAGGGAUUGAACCCGGGUCUCCUGCAUUACAGGCAGAUUCUUUACCGUCUGAGCCAACAGGUAAGUAACUUGUGUUUAGAAAAUGUGAAAAGGGUAAGGGCAGAAAAGCUAAGACUUGAAUCUUAGUCAACUUGGUGUGAAGCAUAACUAUUUCUUUUUAAAGAGAAUUUAUAGUUCUUUUCACCAUUUCUAAAUGUUAUCAUUUGCUUCUUUUUCAUGUGUAGGGAAAAGGGGACUGAAGAAAAAGAAGGGUUCAUCUUCCCUUUUCCCACUCCAACCUCAGAAUGGAGAUUAUAGAUAAAAGGGUCUAUACCUCAGAAGAUUGUAUGAAGAUUAAAUGAGAAAAUACACAUAAAGACUCAGCCCAGUCUUUGGCACCUUGUAAGAUGUCCUAGAUACCAUUCUACUGCGUUAGAGCAAUGCUAAUGCGAACAAUGCCUCACAUGCAGG